CUUUCUGGGGCUCUUUCUCCUUCCUCCCUCCCCUUUUUCUCUUGCUUCUUGGCUACCAGGAUCUGAGAAACUUCCCUCUGAUCUGCUCUGGCCCGGAUGUGCUGCCUCACUGUGAGACCACAGCAGUGGAGUUUGCUCUCUGUGAACUUGAAACCUCUGAAACUGAGCCACAAAUAAACUUUUCUCCUUUAAGUUGUUGUUGUCAGGUAUUAUGAUCAUAGCGAUGAAAAAGCUAAGACAAAUUGGUCAGAGAAGUGCAGUCAUUGCCAUGUUUAGACUGACCAUGUGGUUGAGAAACAUUUGAAGUUGGUUUGCAGAAAGAAUAUUGAAAAGUUUAGAAUGUGUGCUGGAAAGACUUUAGAAUGUUGUAAAUUGAGCUUAAUGGAUAAUUCUGGUGUGAGCUUGAUGAAUAUGAACUGGGUUUAUGAGGUUUCAGAGGGGAAUGAGGACUCUAAUGGAACUUGGACUAGAGGCCACUUGUGUUAUAUUAUGGCAGAGAGCUUGGCUACAUGUUAUCUAUAUUCUCAGACUUUGAAACUGAAUUUAAAAGUGAUGGAUUAAGUAAUCUGGCAGAGGAAAUUUCAGGGCAGCACAGCAUUCAGUCAGUGGCAUGGAUAUUGCUGGAAGCAUUUAGCUAGGUUCACUAUGAGAAUUGGGAGCAGAAAGCAGAGCUAAAGGGUUUCUAAAACUUGGAGAUUGGCCAUAAAAGUGUGUGUGUGUGGUGGGGAAGCUGGGGGCAAGGAAGGUGUGCUUGUAGAAGAGAUUACAGCCCCUAAAUAGGUCUUCUGUGCUUACAUAAGAGACAAUAGGAGAGAUGCCUCUAUGGCAUUUUAGGAAUUUGCAAGACCACACCCACCACAGGCUCCAGGGUAUAGAAAAUUCCUUUGAAAGGAGAUCAUGAGGGACCCUUGCUCACACAGGGAGGCCUAGGAAGUUGUUUCAUUGUGGUUUGCAGUGCAGGCACUCAGAGGUCUCCACAGUCAUGAUUCCAGGAGUCCCAGAUAAUGUGCAGGCUCACACCAGCUCUUGACAUCAUCCAUAUGGUGCUUGCUGGUUCUUCAGGAAAGUAGGAUGCGGGUGUUAAGAGGGUCAUCGAGGCUUCCAUUGAGAUUUCAGAGGAAGCCCUGGGAGACCAGGCAAAGUCUAGCAGAGUCAGAGUUCCUUCAGACAGCCCCUGAGAGGGUGAUGCAUGAAAAACUGUGAAGGUGAAGCCAGGGCUGGAAUGGAGACCGCAGAAAUUAAGAAAAACAGUAGUGUGGACUGUCCACUGAGAAAAGCUUCUGUCUUUGGAGAGAGCCAGGCUAAUGGCCACUGCAACCAGCAAGACCAAAGUUUGGGGCUGCCCAAGCUCUUUGGAAGUAAUAUCUCAGCCAUAUGUCCUAGAUGCUAUACAUGGUGUUACUGGAUCUGUUUGCCUGGCUGGGCUUUGAUUUUGCUUUGCUUUCCCUUCUUCCUAUGCCUCUGUUCCUUCCUUUUGGAAUGAUAAUGUUAAUUCUGUGCCACUGUAUAUUGGGUAUAUGUAACUUGUUUUCAAUUUUUACAGGGGAUCACAGCCAAGCAUUUUGCCUUGAGUCUCAGAGGAGACUUUGAACUUGGACUGAACUUUUGGGUAAUGCUUAAGCUAUUAAGACAGGGGAAUCUUAGAUGAUGAAGUAAAUGCAUUUUGCACUGUGAGUUGGACAUGAGCUUUGGGAGUCAGGGGGUGAAAUGUUAUGGAUUGGAUAUGAGAUUUCUUCUAAAAGCUCCUGGUAAUACAGGAAUAUUCAGAGAUAAAAUGAUUGCAUUAUGAGAGCUGUUACCUAAUCAGUCUAUUCUAGUUUGAAUGGAAUGACUGGUUGGUAACUGUGGGCAGGUGGGGUGUGGAAGGAGGAGAUAGGUCAUGUCCUGGAAGGGUGCAUCUUCCUAUGGCCCCGCUCCCCUCUCUCCUCUGCUUCCAACCCUGCCAUGAGUUGAGUAUCUGUCCUUUGCCGGGCUGGUCACCAUGAGCCUAGAGCAAUAGAGUUUGCUGUUUGUAGACUAAGACCUCUAAAAUCAUGAGUUCCAAAUAAACUCCCCUUCCCCCUGCCCAAGUUGUUCUUGUCAGGUAUUUUGGUCACAGGGAUCAAAAGCUAACUAAUUGCCUCCACCCCCAUCUCUGGUUUUGCUUUCCAUGGUUUCAGUUACUUUUAGUCAACAAGAAGUAAGGGUGAGUACAGUAUAAUAAGAUACAUUGAGAAAGAAGAGGAAAGACCACAUAACAUCCACAUAACUAAUUUUUACAGCAUAUUAUUAUAAUUGUUCUAUUAUGCUAUUGUUAAUCUCUUACUGCAUCUAAUUUAUAAAUUAAAUUUUAUUAAAAAUGUGUACAUAUAGGAGAAAAAGUAUAUAAAGUUAAGUACUAUCUGUGCUUUCAGGCAUUCAUUGGAAGGUGUUAGAAUAUAUCUCCUGCAGGAAUGGGGGGACUACUGUACUCUUGAAUAUGCCUCAAUUGUGCUUUGUUUUUAACUUUUCUUAUUUUAUGAUAAAUGUAUUAAGAACCACAGAAUGAGCAUGUACAUUCAACACUGUUCCCAAGAACUUCAGGAUGAACCUUUUCAAUAACAUAAUAAAGAGUUAAACA
rnacentral:lncRNA from 1 species